rnacentral:tRNA from 1 species
CGUGGCUUAGUGGUUAGAGCAUUCAGUUCAGGAUCGUAAGGUCCUGGGUUCAAUUCCCGGCG